rnacentral:tRNA from 1 species
GGAAGAUGGCUCAGUGGUUGAGAGCUCUGUCUGCUCUUCCAGAGGUCCUGAGUUCGAGUCCCAGCAACCA